AGAAUGAACGCUGGCGGCGUGCUUAACACAUGCAAGUCGAGCGAGGCGGAAGGGGGCAACUCCUUCCAGUCGAGCGGCGGACGGGUGAGUAACACGUGGGUAACCUGCCCGGAAGUGGGGAAUACCUCGGGGAAACUCGAGCUAAUACCGCAUGACAUCUUCGGGACGACAGUCCUGAUGAUCAAAGCGGGGUCGCAAGAUCUCGCGCUACCGGAUGGGCCCGCGCCCGAUUAGCUAGUUGGUGAGGUAACGGCUCACCAAGGCUUCGAUCGGUAACCGGCCUGAGAGGGCGAUCGGUACACACCGGAACUGAGACACGGUCCGGACUCCUACGGGAGGCAGCAGUGGGGAAUCUUGCGCAAAUGGGCGAAAAGCCUGACGCAGCAAACGCCGCGUGAGGAUGAAGGCCCUUGGUUGUAAACUCCUGUCGGCUGGAAGAAAAUCGUUCGGGGCUAAUACCCUCGGAACGUUGACUGUACCAGCAAAGGAAGCCCGGCUAACUCUGUGCCAGCAGCCCG
rnacentral:rRNA from 1 species